GCCUUCGUAGCUCAGGGGAUAGAGCACCGCUCUCCUAAAGCGGGUGUCGCAGGUUCGAAUCCUGCCGAGGGCACCA
rnacentral:tRNA from 10 species